rnacentral:rRNA from 1 species
UCAAAACGACUCUCGGCAACGGAUAUCUAGGCUCUCGCAUCGAUGAAGAACGUAGCGAAAUGCGAUACUUGGUGUGAAUUGCAGAAUUUCGUGAACCAUCGAGUCUUUGAACGCAAGUUGCGCCCGAAGCCAUUAGGCCGAGGGCACGCCUGCCUGGGCGUCAC